AUAACAAAUGCUAGUGUGUCAAGAGUGCUGAUGUGUGUUUUUCCAUUCCUUUCUGUGUUCAGGAGUUUGAGAUUCUGUCUCAGAUCAAGCAGCUGCAGGCGUCAUGCGCUCACUACAAACUCCAAUCACAUCCUCGCAUCAUUUCCUGGAUCAACAGCGGCAUACCUCUUUCUGAUCAGAAGAGCUAUGAGUUGUCAAGAGAACUGGAGCCACCAGUUGACCCCUGUCCCAGCUCUCCCAACCCCUGGAGCCACCGGCUCAUCACCAAGAAACUGACCUCGUUGCUGUCUGGCAGUGAGAACUUCUCAAAGAAGACUUUUGCUGAUCAGAUCAGUGUAUCAUCCUCUGGCUCCAGUGGCUCAGAGAUGGAAGAUCUCAGCAGCCCCAACCUCUCACCACUUAGAUACAAAGUACAGGUAACAAAACUGCAGACCAGAGCUGCAGACUUUUGUUAUUUAUUACCUCAUAUACUCUA
rnacentral:lncRNA from 1 species